ACACUGUAUUGGAAUCGCUUCUUUUCUCUUUCUCUGUGAAUUUCUUGAGAGCACAGACUACAUUCUGCUUAACUUUUUAUCCCCAGCUUUCAGCACAGUGCCUGGCUGGAACUGACUUCUUCCUCCUCAUGGUCCACUUGAAAUUCCAGGAAAAGGAACAGAUGUGCAAGGAAUUGCAGCCUGGAGAAACAUAGUGUAUUUGGAGACUUGCAUGUAAAUGGAUAAAAUGUCAAUCAACCUUCAUGUUGUGUCUACGCUCAAUCAUCCCUGAUGACCCUACGCUGACUACAGAUGCAGAAUUCAGCAAAAACCAAUGAAAGCAUUCGGUGAGAAUCAAUGGCUAUAUGGAGCUUACAAUAAACCGUAUUGUGUAUUUUAUUAUUA
ensembl:lncRNA novel transcript, antisense to C7orf33 and CNTNAP2